GACGAACGCUGGCGGUGUGCUUAACACAUGCAAGUCGAACGGUAAGGCCCUUUCGGGGGUACACGAGUGGCGAACGGGUGAGUAACACGUGAGUAACCUGCCCUCAUCUCUGGGAUAACAGUCGGAAACGGUUGCUAAUACUGGAUAUGAGCUUGCAAGGCAUCUUGUGGGUUGGAAAGAUUUUUUUGGUUGGGGAUGGACUCGCGGCCUAUCAGCUUGUUGGUGAGGUAGUGGCUCACCAAGGCUUCGACGGGUAGCCGGCCUGAGAGGGCGACCGGCCACAUUGGGACUGAGAUACGGCCCAAACUCCUACGGGAGGCAGCAGUGGGGAAUAAUGCACAAUGGACGGAAGUCUGAUGCAGCAACGCCGCGUGCGGGAUGACGGCCUUCGGGUUGUAAACCGCUUUCAAUUGUGACGAAGCUUUUUGUGACGGUAGCAGUAGAAGAAGCACCGGCUAACUACGUG
rnacentral:rRNA from 1 species